UGGCUCAGGAUGAACGCUGGCGGCGUGCUUAACACAUGCAAGUCGAGCAGGAGUAUGAAAUCUGAGAGCUUCGGCAGGAUGAUUUCAUAUUUUAGCGGCGGACGGGUGAGUAACGUGUGGGCAACCUGCCCUGUACUGUGGAAUAAUCACUGGAAACGGUGACUAAUACCGCAUGUCAUCCGAAGAGGGCAUCCUCUUUGGAGAGGAGGAUUUAUUCGGUACAGGAUGGGCCCGCAUCUGAUUAGCUAGUUGGUGAGAUAACAGCUCACCAAGGCAACGAUCAGUAGCCGACCUGAGAGGGUGAUCGGCCACAUUGGGACUGAGACACGGCCCAAACUCCUACGGGAGGCAGCAGUGGGGAAUAUUGCACAAUGGGCGAAAGCCUGAUGCAGCAACGCCGCGUGAAGGAUGAAGGGUUUCGGCUCGUAAACUUCUAUCAACAGGGACGAAAAAAAUGACGUACCUGAUAAAGAAGCCCCGGCUAACUACGUGCCAGCAGCCGCGGUAAUACGUAGGGGGCAAGCGUUAUCCGGAAUUACUGGGUGUAAAGGGAGAGUAGGCGGCAUGGUAAGUUAGAUGUGAAAGCCCGAGGCUUAACCUCGGGAUUGCAUUUAAAACUAUCAAGCUAGAGUACAGGAGAGGUAAGUGGAAUUCCUAGUGUAGCGGUGAAAUGCGUAGAUAUUAGGAAGAACACCAGUGGCGAAGGCGACUUACUGGACUGAAACUGACGCUGAGGCUCGAAAGCGUGGGGAGCGAACAGGAUUAGAUACCCUGGUAGUCCACGCCGUAAACGAUGAGUGCUAGGUGUAGGGGGGGAACCCUCGGUGCCGCAGUAACGCAAUAAGCACUCCACCUGGGGAGUACGAUCGCAAGAUUGAAACUCAAAGG
rnacentral:rRNA from 1 species